AACCAUUCUCACCUGCGGCUAGACCUGCGGAGGGAUCAUUACCGAGUGCGGGUCCUCGUGGCCCAACCUCCCACCCGUGACUAUUGUACCUUGUUGCUUCGGCGGGCCCGCCAGCCCUGCUGGCCGCCGGGGGGCGUCUCGCCCCCGGGCCCGUGCCCGCCGGAGACCCCAACAUGAACCCUGUUCUGAGAGCUUGCAGUCUGAGUGUGAUUCUUUGCAAUCAGUUAAAACUUUCAACAA
rnacentral:misc_RNA from 1 species